UACGUAGGGUGCGAGCGUUAAUCGGAAUUACUGGGCGUAAAGCGUGCGCAGGCGGUUUUGUAAGCCAGAUGUGAAAGCCCCGGGCUCAACCUGGGAAUUGCGAUGGAGACUGCAAGGCUUGAAUCUGGCAGAGGGGGGUAGAAUUCCACGUGUAGCAGUGAAAUGCGUAGAGAUGUGGAGGAACACCGAUGGCGAAGGCAGCCCCCUGGGUCAAGAUUGACGCUCAUGCACGAAAGCGUGGGGAGCAAACAGGG
rnacentral:rRNA from 1 species